GGUAGAAGAAAGCCCGAGGCACCGUCCUGCGGCACACUGUCCAUUUUAUCAUCGGGGAAAUGACUGACUGCAGAGCGAGUGGCUGUGUUUUCGAAGCCCCGGUAGAUCUGUAGCAGUUGAUGAGAAGCAGGUGGUUUACCAGUCGGUCGUGCUCACCUUGCAAACUUUGUUCCUCUUCCACAUCAAGUCAUUCAUGACACAGCCUUCAAUUCAUCAUCACCUUCUCAUUCUGGAAAACUUAAACCCUGGACCAAACAGAGGGGAACCACCGGGCUGCCUGGAUGCUGGAACUGUGGUGGUGGAUGCUUAAACAGGAGACGUCCUCUAUUAGACCGGCUGCUACCAGCUUUCCCCACAAACAUCAUCUCACCCGUGUCCUUAGACUGCCACAGCAUCACUGCUGCAGCAUCCCUGCUGUACCUGUGAGAGGGGGCAAGCGCCCGCAGGAGAGGCUCUGUGCGGGGGGAGAGGGAGCCCAGGUGCACCGGAGCCAUCUCCCACCGAAACUGCCCCGGCGGCUGUGACUGAAAUUUAAUUUGCCUGGUGCAUUCAGUGGACAUUUUAAUCAGCAUUUCCUACAAUCUACUUGGCAAAGAGGCUCAACUGGCAGCUGCCUGACUGAAUGGGCUUUGCACCCAGACUAACCUUCUCCAUUCGCAAUUUCCAAUGCUGGAAAACCUCUCUGUCUCACUCUCAGAAGUUUCUAUAGCAAUCACGGUCGUCCUAGCGAAGCACUGAAAAUGGCAGCCCAUUCAGAUUGUAAUUUCGCUGGACAGUAAUUGCUCCUCUCUCCAUUGGCCUCUGAAAUGUUACUUUUCAGUAGAUAUCAACUGCAACUGGAGGAGACUGGUCCUCUGCCUGUGUUUUCAACAAAUUUCACUCCCCCUCCACCCCAACUAACUUUGUUAGCUGUUUACAGCGUGUGUGAACUUUGACUAACGGGAAGAGAUGUUGGGCACAUCGUACCUCAGCUACAGGAAAGACCUGACAUGAGCAAUGCUCUUCACAAGCCUGCAGGAAAAAAACCUCACCGCUCAACACGUCGUGUUGUGACCUGAACAUUAUCCAUCACUGUAGGUAGAAAAAGUUACACAAGUGUUUGGCUUUGCUAAUUGUAAAAUACUGGAGGAUACAAAGAAAGCCUUUUUCUUCAUGUCAGUGAGCUUACUUUUCCUGGUUCAGUUAACUUCAGCUUAAACAAUCACUUGAUCUUUUGUUCCAUGCUUCAUCUUUCACUGGCUGUGAUCGCUCUUAAUUACUGUGACACUGAAGAGCCUCAUGCUAAAAAUAUAUUAAGUAACAGAAUGAAAAGUUUUGCUCCCUGCAAGAAGAGGAUGCGGUAGAAUUGAACCACAACUUGUGAAGGAACUGAUCAACCAUUCCUUAAACUCUUCUAAUAAUCUUUCCCUAUACUUUUAUGGCUAUUGUUGCCUGCUGGAAAAAUUAGCUUAAAGCUGAGUAAGGGGAAUUGUGGAUAAGUGUUUGCAAUUUGGCUUUGGACUGACACAGUGUGAUUGCACUCAAAGAAUUUGAAGUCUUUGCACUGGCAGCAGUAAUUGAAUCUGGGAAUAUAGGAUUCGCAUUGGAAAAGAGUGGAUUUUUAUAACGAUUUAAAUGAACAAUUUCAGCUAGAGAGUGGAUUAACAGAGCCAACUAAACCCUUCACCCUGACAAAGAACUGGCGGGAGGACUAUAGAAACUCAUCCAAAAUUUUACCAACAUGAAUGCAGAGUAAUAGGUCAGUGAGAAGCGUUUCUGUAUUUUAGUGGCGCUCUUAGAAUUCAAUUCAAUUUAAA
ensembl:lncRNA